CUCUCGCUGCCCUCGCCGGGCCCAGCCGCCCGGAGGCCCCGCGGCCGGCGGUCGCGACGGGGGCGACGCGGCGACGGCGGCUCGGGGCGCGGCGCUUGCCCGCGCUAGCCAGCAGGCCGCGAUCGGGCGCCCGUGCCCAGCCUCGGCCUGGCCGCCGCCGCCGCCGCCGCGCCGCGCGUAGGGAGGAAGAGGAAAUGCCCGGCGCCGGCUCCCGCUGCUCACCGGCGCGGCCCGAGGGGCGCCCGCCCGCCACGCCGCCCCUAGCCCCGCCUGGGGCGGGCCUAGGCCGGGCUAUAGGGGCCAGGGCCUUGGGCUGCGCCGGCCGCGGGAGGUGGGUGCUUCUCGGCGGCGAGCUGCGACUCGGAGAGACUCCUGUCCGCAGGUGCAUGGCUUCCGGGCGGGCCUCGGGCAGCGAGCUCCAGCCCCACUGAGAGGCCGCGGACCGCCUGGGGACUUGUGUUUGUGUGUAUUUUAAGCCAACAGCCCAGAAAGGGAAGGCGACUGGCCCCCGGUCUUCGCCAGUGUUUCCCGGCCGGGUUACUGGUGGUCAGGAGGGAAGCCAGGAGGCUGCCGGGCUCCGAGGCCGAUUCCUUGCGAACCAUCUCCGUUAAAGACUCCGCGCCGGGCAGCCCGGGAGUCCGGCGGUACCCGCGCAAACUUUGUCCCAGCGCCUUGGCUCACCGUGAAUGCCCUGCCUUGAAAAUUUGGAGUUUUUUGUUUCCUGAAAGUGGUCUGCUUUUCCGAUUUUAUCUGUGUUUUCCAUUUUUACCUUCUUAUUGUCAAUUUGUUUUCAGGCAUUAUUAAUUCAACAAAUCUUUGUACUGCCCCUUACCACGUGUCGAUGGUUCCGUGGUUUGGUGGAAAUAGAUCGCGCUUUGAAGUCAAGACGGAUCGGCCAUGGAAUUUUGGCUCUGAGAUCCUCUGUGUAACCGUGGAUGAGCUACAAGGCCUGCUGAGCCUCCAUUUGUCUGGUUUUUGUGGUUGUUUUAAUUUAUCUUUUUCCAUUUGAAGUUGUGGGUUUUGCAUAAAAUUGAACUGUUACCAGGCUAAGUCAACUGAAAUUGGAAUCUGGGACUCCUCAAAGGCAGCGACCACAUUGUUC
rnacentral:lncRNA from 10 species